CAGCCGCCGCGGGAAUACGGAGGGUGCAAGCGUUAAUCGGAAUUACUGGGCGUAAAGCGCACGCAGGCGGUUUGUUAAGUCAGAUGUGAAAUCCCCGAGCUUAACUUGGGAACUGCAUUUGAAACUGGCAAGCUAGAGUCUUGUAGAGGGGGGUAGAAUUCCAGGUGUAGCGGUGAAAUGCGUAGAGAUCUGGAGGAAUACCGGUGGCGAAGGCGGCCCCCUGGACAAAGACUGACGCUCAGGUGCGAAAGCGUGGGGAGCAAACAGGAUUAGAUACCCGAGUAGUCCCUGUCUCUUAUAA
rnacentral:rRNA from 1 species